CGGUCCUCCAGGCCGGUCCUCCAGGCGAGUGGUGACGUGAGCUUUGGGCGGGAACAAGAUGAAGAUGAACCGGCGCUGAGACCCCGGACCCUGACCUGCAGCUCCGUUG